rnacentral:rRNA from 1 species
GAUGAACGCUGGCGGCGUGCCUAAUACAUGCAAGUCGAGCGAACGGACGCUACUCUUGCUUCUCUGUUGUUAGCGGCGGACGGGUGAGUAACACGUGGAUACCCUCCCUAUAAGACUGGGAUAACUUCGGGAAACCGGAGCUAAUACCGUAUGAUCUUUUGAACCGCAUGGUUCAAAAGUGAAAGACGGUCUUGCUGUCACUUAUAGAUGGAUCCGGGCUGUAUUAGCUAGUUGGUAAGGUAACGGCCUACCAAGGCAACCAUGCGUAGCCGAACUGAGAGAGUGAUCGGCCACACGGGAGCUGGGACGCGGUCCAGACUACUAAGGGAGGCAGCAGUAGGGAAUCUGCCGCAGUGGGCGGGAGCCUGACGGAGCAAGGGCGCGUGAGUGAUGAAGGUCUUCGGAUCGUAAAAAUCGGUUAUUAGGGAAGAACAGAUGUGGAAGGAAAUGUGCACAUCGUGACGGUACCGAAUCAGAAAGCCACGGCUAACUACGUG